UUCAUGUGCUUGGUGGUUGGCUUUUAAUAACAAGUUGGUUAUGAUAAAGAACUGCUCUGAUCCCAGCCAGGGAGCUGAAGCCGUCUUCCUAGUAAUCAGUCUUUAAGUCUGUCUCUGUAAUUGUAAUCUUUCAGAAAGCUGAGUUUCUCGUCUGAAGCCAAUUGCUCAGUUUAGCGUUGACCUGGUGAGUCAUGUUACCCAUGACCAUGUAGGCAUUAGUGACACAGCUUAAAUACUAGCCAGGUGUAGGGAUGCCAGUCCACACUGCUCCGAAUCUGUGGCUCCAAGGACCAUUUGAAGCAAAGGACAAGGAAGGAAACUAGACUCGAUCACCUAGUUCUUUACCUCCAGGCUCUCCCUUCAGAAUGAAGCUUUUGCUCCUGGCCUCCCUGCUGAGUGCUGCAGCCGCUCUGCCAAUCCCUCUUGGACAAUCUGGAGGGAGUUCCAGCGAACAGAGAUUUAAUUUGUACCCACCACAAAUCCUGCCGUUCUUUCCUCAGUUUCCCCUUCCGCAGGCUCCUCUGAUCCCGAUUCCUUUUCCUUUCCCUUUUGAUCCUAAUCAGGUUCUGACACCUAACCAACUUCUGGCGUUAAUCACUUCUAUUUUGAACCAACUGCAGGGCUUCCUUGGGAGAUAAUCUUCCCGGCUACAUCUGAAGACGUGCACGAUGGGGCAGCUGUCCAGGUUACCCGCCUUGUUAUCCGCAGCUUGGAAUGGUCUUAACGUCUUGUAGACUCUAUAGAACGUUCUGUGAAACACCAAAUACCACAGGCACAUCUACUAUCUACAGCCAUACGCUCUAAAUAAAAUUCUCACUAAAACUCC